GAUGCACAUCACAUAACCGUUUUUUGUGAGAUAUGUAAAGAUGAGGUGGAUAAAGGUAAUAGGCCAAAGGGUUGUUUGAACCGUAGAUGGUACAAACAUCUUGAAGAGAAGUUCUUUGAUAGGACUGGAAAAAGAUGUUCGCAGAAUCAGUUUAAAAACAAAUGGGACAUGCUGAAGAGACAAUAUGUACAAUUCAUGUUGUUGAAACAUGCGGCAACUGGGCUAGGUUGGGAUGAUGUGAAGAAAACUAUUGUAGCCAAUGAUGACUGGUGGAAAGUUCAUCUUAAGAAAAAUCCGAAGCAGGCAAAGUAUAAGAAAAAGGGGUUGUCUAACUUGGAAGAAAUGCAUGUCAUGUUCAAUAAGGCACAUGUCACCGGGGCUACAUCAUCUAUUCCUGGGGAGAUAUCAGACGAAGUUCUAACUUUGAUGAAGGAGUGUGGCGUGGAGGAGGGAACUCCUUUGUAUUUCACAGCCACCGACCUUGUCCUCCAAUCGAACUAUGAGUUGUUCAUGCUGAUCGAGACAAAAGAGGGGAGGCUUGAUUGGCUAAUAAGGAAACAUGAUCAAAUGAACAAAUAG
rnacentral:rRNA from 1 species